rnacentral:lncRNA from 13 species
UGUGAGUCAUCAGGCCUAAAGACGCCGAGCUGUGAGUGGUGAAUCAGGUGUUGAUAAUGGCCAACAGUGGAGGGCUGGUCAGCCGACAGUUGCUUGUUGGCCUGGAGGCUUGUGCGCUGAGUCGCCGACAAACCAUGGAAUGAAUCCUUUGCAGACUAAUGGGCGGGCCAACGUUUUCCAGUGUUUGUCAUGGUCCUCAAAGCCCAACGUGGUCCAGUUUCAGAGAAACUGCCUCAUUCAGCACAAAUAUUAUGGAAGACCAUUUAGGUACUUCUCCACCCUCCUUGUCUUCGCCAACCAGCCAUGGGGGAGGUGCUGACAGAUUUGUUGUUUUUUUCUGGCAAUUUGGGGUCAACGAUGCAUGUUAGCAAACCUCGCCGGCUCUCUUAGUUUGCAUUGCAAAACCAGGAGGCCCCCGACGUGCAUUGUGCAAUGUACACAGCACUCUGUUGGGUGACUGGCAUGUGUCUGAUGAUGCUUGAUGCUUUAGAUAUGGUUGUGGCCGUUGAAUGAGGCAUUCACAGUCGAUUACAUGUUGUCAGGGGUCUGUAUUGGCAAGAAUGCACAAAAUCCCUGUCAUUCAGUAACUAAUAGCUUUUACGCUAAAACGGACUUCGCAGAAUAAGGCAAAGAUGCUCAACAGUUCAAAUCUCUGCACAGCACGUUGGAAAAGACUAAGGGGAGACAACCUUGCUACCUCAAAUGGCCUCCUGCAGUCUUCAAGGACUGGUGAGUGGGUGUGAGGACGUUGGUAAAAUGAAAACAUGCAGAGUCAGGCGCAGGACACAGUUCUGAGUAAUCAUCCAAAAUGUACUCCAACAAGGAACAAAUACAAUAAUCCCAAGCACGAACAAUGAGAACCCACAUGACAAACAAUAACGCACAAAACAGAGAGGGAAAUCAGAGGGUUAAAUAAGGAACAUCAUUAAUGGAAUGGAAACCAGGUGUGUAUGAUCAAGACAAAACAAAACGAAAAUGAAACAUAGAUCGGUGGUGUCUAGGAAGCCAGUGACGUCGACCGCCGAACGCCGCCCGAAGAAGGAGAGGGACCAACUUCGGCCGAAGUCGUGACAGUGGGGCUGGUGAACUUAAUGAGAUUUUCAUGGUUUCUCAAGUAUCUUUGGGAUUUCUCAGUCGGUCUCAACAGCACAGCAUGAAGCUACAGCUUGAAGACCCACGGUCUAGUCCUCCUUGUCCAACCUGGCUCAGUUGAUAGGACGACAUGACCGGAAAUCCAUCUUCCUCAAAACCCCUCUUACAUUACAUUAGAAAGGUCUUCCGCCCCUCUCAAAACUGUCAUUGGAGCUCCUUCAAAAUCAUAGAGAAAACAUGAUUGUUCCUCUUUGGUCUUUAUGUUGGCAAACACCCUUUCGUCUUGAAGGAGAAGCUAAAUCCAUUUAUAGUCCGUUUCAGGGGGGAAAUGUGUGUGUAGCGCAACUGUUCUCCAGGGCCGAACAAAGAGCUGUUUUAUGUUGGCACCAGAUUGAGGUCUGUGGAUCACAAUGUGACAAGGCAGACCUCAGAAGA